rnacentral:piRNA from 1 species
UGCUUACUGAAUGAAAGCCUGAAGAUCUGU